rnacentral:misc_RNA from 1 species
AACGCACAUUGCGCCCCUUGGUAUUCCGAGGGGCAUGCCUGUUCGAGCGUCAUUAUCACCCCUCAAGCCUAGCUUGGUGUUGGGGCCUGCCCGUAAGGGCAGCCCUUAAAAUCAGUGGCGGCGCCGUCAGGCUCUAAGCGUAGUAAUACUUCUCGCUAUAGAGCCCUGGCGGUCUCUUGCCAAAACCCCUAAUUUUUUAUGAUUGACCUCGGAUCAGGUAGGGUUACCCGCUGAACUUAA